rnacentral:rRNA from 1 species
UACGGAGGGUGCGAGCGUUAAUCGGAAUUAUUGGGCGUAAAGGGUACGUAGGUGGUUAAAUAAGUUAACUGUGAAAGACCUGGGCUUAACCUAGGGGUGUAAGUUAAGACUGUUUGACUAGAGUAUAGGAGAGGGUAGUGGAAUUUCCGGUGUAGCGGUGAAAUGCGUAGAGAUCGGAAGGAACACCAGUGGCGAAGGCGGCUACCUGGCCUAAUACUGACACUGAGGUACGAAAGCGUGGGGAGCAAAC